rnacentral:rRNA from 1 species
UACAGAGGGGGCGAGCGUUGUUCGGAAUUACUGGGCGUAAAGGGCGCGUAGGCGGCCCGCUAAGUCGAACGUGAAAUCCCCAGGCUCAACCUGGGAACUGCGUCCGAUACUGGCAGGCUUGAAUCCGGGAGAGGGAUGUGGAAUUCCAGGUGUAGCGGUGAAAUGCGCAGAUAUCAGGAGGAACACCUAUGGCGAAGGCAGCUCGCUGGGACGGUACUGACGCUGAGGCGCGAAAGCGUGGGGAGCGAACAGG